rnacentral:lncRNA from 1 species
ACAAGAAACGGAAAGUUAUUGUGAAGACCAUAGGAUUUUCAAGCCUACACCUAUAGUGCAUAGCUAUAUAUCGGGAUAUCGUAUGAACCAUGAUUUGUUUUCAAUGCCAGCCUUAUUGCGAUUUGAUAAUCCAAUAAGCAUUAACAUUUUACGGUUAGCUCUACGAUGCAUCAUGAUGAAACAUGGAUCACUACGAUCUAGAUUCUACACAAACAAUAAUGUUACCUUACAGGAAAUUCUUCCACUGGGAGAAGAUCAACCGAGAAUCGAAAAGAUUGAAAUGAACCAAAAUAAUACCAGUAUGUGGAAUGAACCUACCUUCAUUGAACUUUCUGAAAGAUUAGAGAAAAGUCAUUCUCUAGCGGAUGGUAUUCUGUUAAAUGCAGGCAUAAUUGACAUAGCAAAGCCAUCAGGAAAAACAGAACACUUUUGUCUUGUGGUAAUACAUCACAUUGCAAUAGAUAUAGUGUCAUGGCAGCAAGUUUUAGAAGAUUUAGCAGACGCCUUUAAUCGUCUAAGUAAUAACCCAACUAACCCACCAGCUCUAAAAAGAUGUGUUUUACCAUUUGAAAAGUUUUGCACUUCCUUUCAUAAUCAAAGUAUAGAAAUUGCAGAAUCAGAGGUGUUGUAUUGGAAAGAAAUUGGAGUAAAAUGUCAGAAAACUGGUCAGCUUAAACCGAACAACAAGUCAAACAACUUUUUAACAGCAAAAUGGAUAGAGUUCAUGGUUGAAUCAAAAGAUGUCAGAUCUUUGGCAAUUUCAAGUGGAUGCUCCGAACAAAACAUUUUGUUAACAGCAAUUGGACGGAGUAUGUGUAAAUUGCAUGGAAACAAUAGAUCAUCGCUUUGUAUGGAAAGUCAUGGAAGAAAUCUUAAAGAUGUUGAUUCUACAGACACUGUCGGUUGGUGCACAAGCAAAUAUCCCAUAGUUUUAGACACACCAUUAAAGGAACAAAUUCAUACGCAAAUGAGAAAUAUUUCGGAUUAUAUGAAUAAUAUUCCAAACAGAGGGAUAGGAUUUGACAUGCUGAAGUCAAGAGGACAUAUAUCUUUAUCGUAUCCAAACAUAAUGUUUGUGUACCAAGGGUCACUGGAUGCUUCAACAAAGCAAGUUUUUGAUGGAGGAAAGUACAAGUUCGAGCACAUUCCUUGGCUUGAGGUAAUGAAAACACAUCUGCUUGAUGGACGAUUUCACCGGCAACUAGAUGAAGUUAUGGAAUUUGAUUUAGAAAUUAUAUCAUGGAUGCACGGAGGAUAUUUGACCGUUGGAUUCCUUUUCGAUUCAUCUGCAUUAAGCUCAUCUCUUGUUGAUAGCCUUAUGCAACAUAUGCAGGACGAAUUAAAGACAAUGAAUGAUGAAAUAAUUACUGAAUCACAGGAAACAUGUGUUCAGGUAAGAAAACCAUACAUUAAUGACAGAACUGUUCAAAGUGGUAAAGUGGAAAUAAUAUCAGCAAUCAAUAUAGAUCCAAGCUGCAAACAUUUGAUUUUAGAAGCUUUGAAAUAUUGCAAUUUACGUCUUGAUGAGUUGAUUAUUCAUCAACAAGAGAACUUCAUGCAGUCGCUUUUAAGACACAAAAAUGCUCCAUCAACAAUAUUAGUGGUUAUCCCACGUCAUAAAAAUGAGAUUGAGCGGGAUCAAUUUAGCCUCCUAUGCAAUGAUUUAAAAGCUGUUCACAAAAUUAUUGUAGUAAACACAGACAACGUUUUUAAUAAAAGCAAACAUUCAUACCAGUUGUCACAGGGUAUCAAAGAGAUCAUUCUGCCAGAGGAAUUUACAACCAUAUUUUAUGACAGCGAAUCAGAUAUAAGAUAUGGUAUGCCAUUCACUCAGGAAGGAUAUAGACACUUUGCAUUACUUAUUGCUAGAGCUAUUCAUAGCCUUAUCUUCAAACGAAAACAUAAGGUUAUUGUUGUUGAUGCAGAUUAUACAUUAUGGCAUGGUGAGUGUGCCCAGGAAAGGGUUCAAUCAAACACAAGAAAUUUGUGUUUACAGCAGUUCUUACUUGAACAAAAGAAAUAUGGAAUGGUUUUGGCUGUUAUUAGUAAAAAUUAUCACAAGGACAUCGAACGUGCUUUUCAAAACUUGGAGUCGGAUUGGUCUCUAAGACUGAACGAUUUUGUAUCAAUUCAAGCAAAUUGGGAUUCAAAAGUACAAAAUAUUAGGCAUCUUGCCACCUUGUUGAAUCUUGGACUUGACUCCUUUAUUUUCAUAGAUGACAACAGUCUUGAAUGCGAGGAAAUGAUAUUGUCUUGUCCGGAAGUACUGACACUUAAGUUCCCAAAUGACGAAAAGCUUGUUGCUGCUUACCUACAAAAUUUCUGGUUUUUGGACGGUCAUGACAAUACCAUCGAUACAGCAGAUAGAACAGAUAUGUACACACAAGAAUUUAAGAGACAACACGCUAUUUCAAAAGUAGACAUAAAGUCGAAAUCAAGCAGUGAGAUGAUGACCGAGCUACUUCUCUCUUGGAAAAUGAAACUGUGUAUAAUGAAAACAACCAAGAAAGAUUUAUUACAAAAUGCAGGACUUUAUUCCAGAUGUAAUGAGUUACUUUUCCGGACUAAUCAGUUUAAGUUGAACAACAUACAUAUAUCUUUAGACGACAAAUGUGAUGAAACACAAAUCUGGGUGAUUUCGCUGACCGAUAAUUUUGGAUCAUACGGCGCAAUAAGCAUUUGCAUUAUCGACAAAAUUUCAGACUAUGAUGCUAUUGUUAAACAGUGGGUUGUUAGUUGCAGAGCUCUAGGGCGCUUUGUUGAGCACAGGAUAAUUGAUGAACUGGGAAAACAAACUAACAAGAAGAAUGCAGUUACGAUGGCAUUGCAAAGCACAGGUCGAAAUAUACCUAUUUUGAAUUUUCUCUCAGGUUUUGGUAUUGAAAACGUCUCAGAAGAGGUUAAAAGAAUAAAGAUAACUCUUAAUCAACCUGAUUUUGACGGUUAUUGUGAGAACCUUCACGUUAUGGUCAUUACAGAUGAUAUAAAUAAUGAUUCUUUUAGAAAUAACCAUACUCCUGAAAACAAAGAACAUCAUAGAAAUAUAUCUUCACUUCAAGGAAGUACGCUUACCGAUGUUCAGAAGUGGAUAGCCAAUACUUGGACACGUUUACAACAGGAACAUACUUUACAACACAACUUGUUUCCCAUUAUACCAUUUGAAACAUCAAACAUAUGUGCAGCGUUUUCCCCAGUCCUUCAGAAAAACACGGAAGAUCUCCAAGAACUUGUUAAACAAAGUUGGAUGGAAGUCUUAUGCACACAUCAACCCCCAGCCGAAAGUGACGAUUUUCUGCAAGCUGGUGGAACAUCAUUUUUAGCUGUAUUUUUAGUAUCAAAGUUAAGACGAGAAGGUAAUACUGAAAUUAGUAUCAUUGAUAUACUAAAACAUCCAAUAUACAAACAAUUUGUAAAUAUAGUUUUAAAUGCACCAAAAUUGCACGACAUUCAAGUACAAAAUACAGAAAGCUGUUAUUUGUCUACUGCACAGAAAAGGAUGCUCAUUAUGCAGGAAUAUUCUCCCAAUUCUACGGCUUAUGUGGAAACAAUUGCGAUGAAAACAAGAAAAGGCAUCAAUAUCGACGACGUGUUUAAGAACAUCUUAUCACUACACCCAGAGUUAAAAACAGAAAUUCGAUUGGUCAAAAACAACAGAGAAUACACAAGGUGUAUUGAUUCCAAACGUGAACAUAAAGUCAUCUAUGAAACUGUAAAACAGAAUAAUGACAUUGCAAAAUACAUUUCAGAUACAAUACCAAAAAUGGAAGUCAUAUCUUCUUCUUUAAUCAGGUGUCGAUACUUGCAAACACAAACCUCAGAUUGUUUAGUUUUUCAUGUACAUCAUAUUGUUUCUGAUGAGAUAACUUUACGAUGUCUAAAACAUGAUUUGAAAAAAAUACUGAAUGGUGAAGACGCCGACAAAUGUUCGAAAUCAUUAUCGUAUUCGACAUAUGUUUCCGCGGAAGAGCAAUAUUUGAAAAGUAGGGAAUGCUUAUCUGAUGAGUCAUUUUGGAAAGAUCAGUUUGAAACGCUACCACCAGAAGUAAAUUUGUCACUAUUGCCAAUGUCAGAAUCAAUCUGGAACGAAACUAUUCCAUACAAAGCAAAACAUUUACACAGUUAUAUAACAAAUAGCAGUAAAACUCGCAUUUCAAAAAUUACUAAAGAUUUGGGAACCACCGAAUUCGUAUACUAUUUCGCCUGCACAUCAAUUGUACUACAACGAUAUCUUGGUGUUGAUGAUAUGACGUUUGUGGUGCCUGUUACACUACGAGACGACUUGCACCAAUCAACGGAUGGAUUGUUUGUCAAUACUUUGCUCUGUCGGGUAAAUUUUAACCCAUCAUUAACAUGGCGACAAUAUAUUGCACAUGUUGAAGAAGUCUUACUGUUAGCACAAAAGUCUCGUGCAUACCCAUUAGAUAAAUUAGCACAAAUGUUAUGGACAACUCACAAGAAAAGCAUUAGUUCAUUCUGUUCUCUAAUGUUCAAUUACAGCAGAACCAACACUGAGAAAGACGAGAUUAGGGUAUACUCUAAACAUGCAAAGAUGUCGUUAAGUAUAGAUAUAAUUGUUGACGAAAGGAACAAACAGACAUCAGUUUUGUUUGAAUGGGCAGAAGAUGUGUUAGACAGCACUAUAGUUGAGCGAAUAAGUAACAGUUUGACUGAACUUUGUUCCAGGGAUACACCAUUGGAUCAACAACUAAAAGUCAUGGACAUUUUAUCGUCAUCAGAGAUACAAUUGCUGCAGAUGUUCUCUGUAAACGAAAUUCCGAACGACAGUCAAGUGUUUACGGAUAAGAAAAUGCAUAUACAGUUUGAAAUGAACACAGAAAAACAUCCAGAUAAUACAGCUGUCGUUUGCGAUGAGGACGUUAUCUCAUAUCAAAAUCUAAAUAAGAUGGCAUCACAAAUCGCAGAGGGUAUUUGUACAGAAAUAAAUGCGGACAUUUUGGAGUCAAAUCCUGUGUUAUUGUUUACAAAGAAGGACAUAUAUUCUGUUGCAAUGAUAUUGGGCGUUUGGAAAUCCGGUGGACACUUUCUUCCAGUUUCUAUAUCAAACCAGAAAGUUUUAAAAGAUAUAAGUUCGCGAAUUACACCAGCAGCAAUUAUUUAUCACUGUACCGAUGAAGAUUAUAAAACAGUGAUAGAAGCGUCCUUCACCUGUCCAGUUAUGAAUGUUGAAACUCUUAUUGAAAAUACAUACAACCGCUUCCUCUGGAGUCAGGAAGCAUCAAGAAAAUCAGACAUUGUAGCAUAUGCCAUUCAAACGUCUGGAUCUACAGGUGUACCAAAGAUGUGCAAAAUUUCCCAUUGCAACCUCAAUGUUGUUUCCCAUGCUUGGAAGACUGUGUAUAAUAUGGAUAAAUAUGAGGUAAAUGUUUUUCAAUGGGCACCAGUGUCAUUUGACGUGUUUGUUGGAGAUCUCGUGCGUUCAUUGAUUUGCAUGCCUGGCAAACUUGUUCUUUGUCCAGACGAACGACGAUUGGACGUUUCUUACAUUCAACAUCAGAUAAAAUACCAUAAUAUAACUUUCAUAGAAGUGACACCGCAUUUUGCAUCACAUUUGAUAGAAGACAGUAAUGCUUCCGAUUUCGAAAGUUUAAAAAUUUUAGUUCUGGGGUCGGAUGCUACACACAGUCACAUAUUUGAAAAUAUAAAAGGAAUCUUGAGACCGGAUCAGCGUGUUAUUAAUAGUUAUGGAAUGACGGAAGCUACUAUUGAUUCUACAUAUUUUGACAGUGAUAAUGUACAUUGUACAAGGAGUGGCACAGUUCCGAUUGGAAAGCCAUUACCAGGAGUAUCACUUCAUGUCCUAAAUACAAACACUUUACUUCCAUCUCCUAUAGGAACUAUUGGUGAACUCUAUAUUAGCGGAAACGUCCUUGCGUCUGGUGAUACUGAAAUUGUUGAAAUUGGAAAAGAGAAAUAUGCAUUAAAAACCGGAGAUAUUUGUUGCUGGUUACCGUCUGGGAAUCUAGAGCUAUAUGGUAGGUCAGACGACGUGGUGAAGUUGAGAGGAUUUCGCAUAAGCACUUUAGAAAUUGAAAAACGAAUUAUUCUCAAAAUAAAAGACAUCAAAGAAGCAUGUGUUUCCGUUUUAAUUGAUAACAAAUCAAGUAACACUCAGUACCUAUGUGCAUUUGUUGAGAUGUAUCCAAAUCAUUCAGUAGAUAUGAACGUUAAUAAGAUAAAGCAAAUACUUUCCAGUGAGUUACCUUACUACAUGGUUCCUGAUUUAGUUCACUUUUUGAAAAAACUUCCAAUUACAAAACAUGGCAAAAUUGACAGGAAAAGUCUGCCAUCUUUAUCAAACAUGAAUGCCUUAAAAUGUAAGAGAAUAACAUGUGAACAUGAUGGAAAAGAUUCGGACACUGCUAAUGUUUUGAAAGCCUUAUUCGCAAGAGCAAUGGAUAUAACAGAUAUAAAUGUUAUAGAUGUUAAUCUGACAUUCAUGGAGAAUGGAGGUCAUUCUUUAACAUUAGUUCGAUUUUGUUCUCUUAUUAAAAAGGAGACAAAAUUCAAAAUAGGAAUUGCUGAUUUAUUUUCGUAUCCAUCUAUCUUGACUUUGGCUAACCAAAUUGAAGGCAAACAAAUAUUGGAAUCAGAAAACAAAGUAGCAAAUGAUGAUUGUUCAACAGAUUCUGAAGAUAUAGUAAUAACUGGAUUGGGACUCCGUCUACCUGGUGGCAUUAUGUCUUUACCGCAGUUAUGGGAGGAACUUAAGAAUGGAGAAGACCUAGUGCAACAAUUUCCGCAAGAAAGGAUUUCAGAUUUUAAAGACUGUUCUAAAUCUAUUCCAACCACAGAUACAUAUCGAGGGUCCUUUUUAGAUCGAAUAGAUCAAUUCGAUAACGAUUUUUUCCAUAUUCCUCCUGGUGAAGCAAAGUUCAUGUCUCCAGAACAAAGACUGUUACUGCAAGUAGCAACAGAGGCCUUACUCGAAGGAGAAAACAUCAGUAAUGUAAAUGGGGCUAAUAUUGGUGUUUUUCUCAGUACUAUUGAUAUUGGAUAUUCACAGCUUAAUUAUCCAGAUGAAGCAAUCUGCGUAUCAGGUCUUUUACCAGGAAUGGUUGCUACACGUAUUGUGUACCAGUGGAAUUUAAAAGGACCAAGUAUGCUUGUCGAUACAGCUUGUUCAUCUUCAUUAAUGGCAUUAAAACAUGCAUGUCAAGCUAUUAAAAAGAACGAAUGUGACGGGGCGUUAGUAGGAGGUGCUAAUCUUGUGAUUUAUCCAGGAAGAACCGGCGUCUUUGGAAAUGCAGGAAUUCUUUCACCAGAUUUUACCUGUCGACCUUUUGAUGAAAAUGCAAACGGAACUGUCGUUGGUGAAGGUGUUUUAUGUUUAUAUGUGGGAAGAUUAAGUUCAGCAAUAAAGCAAGGCAAACAUAUCUAUGGUAUUGUUAACAGUGUUGCAUCAAACAGUGUUGGACACGGGAACGGAAUCACAGCUCCGUCUUCGACCUCACAGACUGAUGUCAUACAUAAAGCACUCCUGGCUGCCGGUAUAAAAGCCGCAGAUAUUGGUUAUAUUGAAACACAUGGCACAGGCACAAAGCUAGGGGAUAAAGUAGAAAUAUCAGCUUUAUCAUCAAUAUUUAAAGAGAACGUAGCUAUUGGUACAUCAAAGAGUAUGUUUGGACAUUUAGACACGACAGCUGGGUUACUUGGACUAGUGAAGGUGUUGGCAACAUUUAUGUUCAAUAAGAUACCACCAUCUGCAAAUUUUAGAAUUCCGAAUCCAGAACUGAGAGAAUCCGCUUUGUCUGUUGUAACCGAAAUUCAAGAUUGGGAAUGUAACAGUUCGGGAAAACAAGUUGCUGGUAUUAGCGCAUUUGGCUUAACUGGGACGAACUGCCAUGCAAUAAUUUCAAACCAUGAUGCAAAAAGUAUUAAAAAAGUGAGAAAACAGCAAAGCUUCCCGCUGUUUUUCCGAGGCAAGUCCUUCCAUCAUAUACAAAAACAAGCCUGGCUGUAUGAUUGCCUUAUCAAAGAAACAAUGCAAAAGGCAUCUCUGAAUUCCCUCGAAGGUAUGUGUUUAGUAGUUGCCAAGAGGUUUCACCAAAUGUGUAUGGCGAAUGUUGGUCACGGUCAAUUUCGUUUAGCAAUUGAUGUAAAAACACCACCACAAGCAAUACGCUUAUUGUCUAUUGUACAAUCGACAUCGAAAGCGGAAGAUUUUAUACAGAUUUGUAAAAUCCGCAGCGACAUGCACGUUUCAUUUCCUGGCACAUGCAUAGUAAAUUCGGAGAUAAACUACUUUAGAUCCUUUAUACAUGACAAUCAGAUUGACAUUUCCGAUAUUUUUGAAGAAGAGAUUAAUAAUGUGUGCCCAGCAUUUGGUGUAACAUUGGCUUUGUUUGAAGAAAAUCGACAUUGGCUGGAUCGAAAAACCAGACUUGUACAAAUCGAAAACCUGUAUGAUCUGUUGGACAGAAAGGUAUCAGAAAGCAAGGAAAUUAUAAGGUCUUUACCAUUAAUGGCCACAGACGACCUAGCAUACCUUCAAGGCAGAUUUUGUUCAUCUGUUAUUAUAAAACUUCUACGUACUACAAACCUAUCCACUCAUGUACUUAAUAACAGAAGCAUAUCUCUGAAAGAAUCGUUCGAAAUCACAGGCAUGCUAGAACAGUACGAUAAAUUAUUUUUUGUUAUGAUAAGGGAGCUUUUAAACAACGGAUUUGUAAGAGCAACGGGAAAAGACGAAACAGUAUUGAAAUUGGAUUCAUAUUUUUUUAACUGCAGUGAUAUACUUGAUGUUGAUCCAACAAACGUAGCUGAUCAUGCCAUGAAAAAAUACCCUGUUUGGGCAGACUGUUUUCGAUUUCCGUUAUAUUGUUCACAACACUUGCGUAGUGUUUUAUGGGGAAACAUGAGCCCAUUGUCAGUAAUUUAUCCCCAAGGCGAUUUAAAUUUUAUGUUCCGAUUUGAUAAACUUGGCGAUCCACUUGGAGACGUUUACUACAAUACAUAUAUGCAGACGAUAGCAUCGUACGCUGACCAACUUACUGGAAGAGAGAAGAAAAUAAGAAUAUUAGAAGUAGGUGCCGGUAUGGGACAUGUAACAAGACAGCUUCUUCCAAAGUUUACAGACAUAGGAAACAUUGAAUAUUGGUUCACCGACCUCGGAAAAGCUUUCGUUGAAAAUGCAAAGAAUACAUUUGAAAUAUAUUCGCACUCUAUGAAAUUUUGUACAUUUGAUAUAACAAAAUCUGCUCUAGAACAAGGCGUUAUCGGUACGUUCGACAUUGUGAUUUCCUACAAUGUUAUUCACACAACUGACAGUAUCAAAACUUCUAUUGUGAAUUUGAAGUCAUGUUUAGGGGAAGACGGUACCUUGUUCAUAAUUGAAAGUGCAAAGAACGAAACAUGGGCAACAUUAGCCUGGGGUGUACUAGAUGGAUGGUGGUUUUUCAAAGACUAUGAUCUUAGACCGUUUGAGCCUAUGAUGGAACCUGAGAAAUGGGAACACAUUCUGUCUGGUAUGUAUUAUUUUUUGUUUAAUUCUAUGAAAAUAUGAAAAAUUGAUGUACAAUUAUAAUGAUAUAAGCUUCGAUCAGCUAUUUCACACGGUCUGACAAAGGAUUCACGAAUAUUUUGUCACUAAUAUAACACUUUGGUGUGUGUAUUUAAUCAACGAUGCAAUAAAUCAAUAUUUUUGAUUUUGAACAAAACUAUAUUUUUGAAUCCAUAUAAAAUAGAAACUUGUACGAGAGUCUUACAAGAGCGUUCAGCAACUUAAAUGUUUGUCGUUUGAACUCUGGUUGUCCCAUUGUCAAACACAUCGUUGAUUGAUGUCCAUGUUUAGUGUUUAUAUGUCCGUUCGGGGCUCAUAGUCAUUAUUGUUUAUGGAUUUGUUUUUUUUAUUUUAAUGAUUAAUUGUAAAAAGAAAUAAGACAAUUAUAUUUUUUUUUUAAAAGAGGCAAAAGAAACCAAAAGAAAAUUCAAAUUCAAAAGUCUAAUCUAUCUGGCAAUGUUAGGUUUAUAAACAAAGCGAAAAACGACAAAUAGACCUACAAUGGUACACAGAACACAAUAUAUACAGACUGAACAACACGAACCCAACAAUUGCUUUGGUGGAUAAGCCCGAUAGCGUGACUUUAAUGCAUUCGACAGUCUCGUACAUAUUUUUGUUUUUCUUUUUGAAUAAUAGGAAUAUUUGAAGAAAAAAUGUUUACCUUCCAUGUUUGAAUUGAAUGGAAACUACGUAUACUUAAACUAUCAAAAUAUUCCAUAUCAAGUGUGGAAUGGUUAUCGAUUGUAUUCAUCCCUCGUUUUCUUGUGUAAAAUGUAUUUUAUAAUUGGAUACUGCUUGAUGAAUACACUCCUUAUAGAUUUUAAGUUAAUUCAUUCAUCCAUUUUACAAAAGGUUUUAUCGAAAGUCAAAUAAAUGAUCGAUGCACAUUCAAGGCUUGUUGAAACGUAUCUUGUUGAUGAAAAGUAAAUAUUGUUGAAAGGCAAAUUAUGUUGUUCCUUUUUAUUUGCUAUGGGGAAUUCAGUAUUUAGGGAAUCUAUUCAUAAAUACCACAUUAUACCAACAAUUAUAAUUAAUGCGUCAUACACAAGUAGAACAGAACGUUAUUAAAUAUUAACGCUCAUUUGGGUGUUAUAUACCAUUUAAAAGAAAUCGCAAAGGCUAAAAAUGAAAUAUAUGAAAUAUACAAUAGAAUAUAUUAUACAUCAGAAUUCCUAGGAAUAUUGGUUUAAAAUUAUGUUUAUAACUAAAUAAAUUGUACGUUUCGAAAAAUAAAUGUUUUAUUCUUUAAAAGCAUAUGAAAAGAGUAUGAAAUACUUCUAGAUAUGUAAGCUCUGACAGCACAUUAUUUUGUAGAUAUUGGAUUCGCAUCUAUUGUAUCUUGUCCAUUUGACGAAGAAGACCGAAAUGAAGUAGAAAAAUUUUUGUUUGUUUGUUGUGUCAAACCAUUGAAUGUAUCCGAGUCUCGCAGAGCACGUUGGUGGGAAAAUAUUGAUACAGAUUUUGAGAAUAAAAUAGAAUUAGAAGAUGACGCUGACAUUGACUUAACUGAUACCAAUUUGUCUACAGAACAGAUUGUGCAAAACGAAUUAAAACAGAUUUGGUCUGAACUGUUAGGAGUACAAGAUAUAAAUCCUGAGGAUGAUUUUAAUUCCCUUGGUGGUGAAUCGUUAAUUGCAGUUCAAAUGAUGACACUCGUUCGGAAACGCAUAGGCUACCAAUUGGAGAUAGCUGAUACGUUUGGAUACCCAAGUUUAGCUGCUUUAGCCAAUUUUAUUUUCUGUAAUCUAAAACCAAAAUUAGGCAAAAGUCUCGAUAAUGAUGUUGUUACUGAACGUGGAAAAGAUAAUGUUUUGCAAACAGAUUCAUGUUCCUUUAAAGAAAAUAAGUCAAGCAAAAUGCUGAUGUUUCCAGGUCAAGGGUCACAAAAAGUCGGAAUGUGUCGUUCAAUGAAGGAUAGUGCUGAAGCAAGAUAUGUUUUCAACAGAGCAGGGAAAAUUCUUGGUUAUAACAUUCUUGACGUUUGUCUUCAAAAUGAUGAAGAAUUGAGCGAGAGGCUGAAAUCAACUGCGUUCGUGCAGGUUGCCCUAUUUGUAGGAUGUUUGGCUAAAAUAGAGCAGAUUAAGAUAGAAAAUCCACACAUUUUAACAAAUAUCAACUGUGUAGCUGGUCUUAGCGUUGGGGAGUUUUGUGCGCUUGUAUACGCCGGUGUUUUAAAGUUUGAAGAUGCCCUUAAAAUUGUAAGGAAACGAGGACAAGCAAUGGAAGAGGAAGCGAAUAGAUCAUCAACGUCCAUGGCUAGUAUUUACGGUCCUCGCAUGGAUCAGCUUCAACAUUACUUGAAGAUCAAUUUUAAAUCGUUAGAAAUAUCCACAUAUUUAGGGGAUAAUCAACACACAGUUGCCGGGGCAAAUGAUGACAUAGAUUCUUUUGUUGAUUAUUUGAAAUCAAAAGAUAAAGAAAGUAUGAAUGUUAUUGACGUUCGGAAAUUACGUGUUGCAGGAGCUUUCCAUUCGAUGUACAUGAAGAAAGCGACUGUUGUUGUUGACCCAUUAAUAGAUUCAGUUGAAUUUCAAAAACCUCGCACACCUGUUCUUAUGAAUGUUACUGGGAGUUUUUCAGAAGAUACUAAUGAUAUAAAAGAACAACUUAAAAAACAACUAGUUGAACCUGUACAGUGGAGAAAAACGAUAGUAUCUGCUUAUGAAAGUAAUGUUAAACAAUUUAUGGAGGUAUCUCCAUCUAGAGUUUUAACAUCUAUUGUGCAAAAAAGAAUUACCGAUUGUGAAGGAUGUCUCACAGAUUUUGUAGAAGUAUAGGCAGAUUGAAUUAAAUACUAUCAAAUUACUAUCAUUUUUUUGUUUGAUUAGAUUAGUUGUAACAAAUACGAUGUUCAGUUGCUAAUGUAUGAUACUUUUUUACACAUGAUAAAAACAUGACUUGUUA